AAACAGAUAAAUCCGUACAGAUAAAUCCGGACGAAGAGAACAACAAUAAUACAGGCAGCUCUAUUUAAUAAGUUCACGAUGACCGCAGCAGCCUCCGAGAUAAAGAACAGUAUGGGCUACGGCCUGGCCUGGUCUUAUUACUACGGCUAUCUGAAACUGAUUUUACCCGGUCUAGCUGACAGAGUAAAGACGUCAACUUUUUGGGACGCUAGGAACCAACGCAUCUCCCCCAAACUGUUCAUCCUGCUGCCCACCUCGUGUUUUGCGCACCCCACCCUCACAGACGGGGACUCAGCGGUCGAACCCGGGGCGCACCUCGCCGAGUUCAAGGCCAACCGGUCAGGAAAUCCGCAGAGAGUGUACAGAAAUUUUGUCUAUAAAGUGUCCUCGGAAGAUG